UGUUAAUGUUAUUGGUCAAUUAACAAAUAUAAUCCACACUUCUGUAAGAAAAAAUAUAGAGUCUAGAAAAUAGAGUAUACAGAGUAUAGACUAUAUAGAGCAUAUAGAGCAUAUAAGAGAAGAAGCUGUUUUCUGCCUGCUGUUGCUGUUGCUGCUUGCCUUUAUCAUGUAAUCCCCUUCGAUCUCUACCUUCAAGAAAGCUAUGAUACUAUGAAAUAAAGAAUUUAGCAGAACAGCAGCCUCCUCUGCUCUUUUACCCUGGUCCGAGAAGGAAGGGUAUCCUGUCAAAAGCUCAAAAUUGCAGGGGAACUUGGAGCCAGUCUCACUAGAAAUUAUCACUGUUCAUAUGUGUAACACCAUGGUGAAGGGUAUUGUCAAUAGCAUGAAGAAUGGCAUCAAAAGUGCUCAGCAGAAAGUGCAAAUUAAGUCUUUGGCUUCUACCCUGCAACCUUCAGCACUCUGAAUCUCACAAGCUCAACAGGAGAUUAAACUCUGUAAAUUUUAUGCACACACUUUGCAUUAACAGUCAAGACUCACAUGUCUACUGCAUUUCCAAGUGCUUUCUGCAUGUGAAGACUGAAGACUUUUUACCCAUAGCUAUAACCAAGAGUUUGUUGUGUUUAUUGCAGCUGCAGGUCUGUUGUGGCCUCAUGGUUUUACAAGGUGAAAGCCCCUCUGUGCAGGGACAGGUGGCUGCAGGCCCCGUGUGGGGGCCAGC